rnacentral:lncRNA from 1 species
GCGCUAGGUCAUUUAGUUAUCCUUGGUGGUCUUGUUUAUAUCCCCCAAUAUUAACCCCACAUACCCCCUAUAUGGGGUAUAUGGGGUUAUAUGGGGUUAUAUGGGGUUAUAUGGGGUUAUAUGGGGUAUAUGGGGUUAUAUGGGGGUAUAUGGGGUUAUAUGGGGGGUAUAUGGGGUUAUAUGGGGUUAUAUGGGGGGUAUAUGGGGUUAUAUGGGGUUAUAUGGGGUUAUAUGGGGUUAUAUGGGGUUAUAUGAGGUUAUAUAGGGUUAUAUGGGGUUAUAUGGGGUUAUAUGGGGUUAUAUGGGGGUAUAUGGGGGUAUAUGGGGUUAUAUGGGGGGUAUAUGGGGUUAUAUGGGGUUAUAUGGGGUUAUAUAGGGGUAUAUGGGGUUAUAUGGGGUUAUAUGGGGUUAUAUGAGGUUAUAUGGGGUUAUAUAGGGUUAUAUGGGGUUAUAUGGGGUUAUAUGGGGGUAUAUGGGGUUAUAGGGACCUACGCGUGGAUGGCACCCGAGGUCAUAAGGACAUCCACCUUCACACGGGGCAGUGAUGUAUGGAGCUAUGGGGUGCUGCUGUGGGGUUGGAGCCUUUAUGGGGGAAAUAAUGGGGUUGGGGUGGAAGACUGUGGGAUUUGGGGUAAAAAUCCCAUAUUUUAUGGGGUAUUUGGGGUCUUUUUGGGGGUAUUUGGGGUCUUUUGGGGUCUGGACCCCCCCGCACUGACCUGUCCCCCCCCCAUUCCCACUUAUAGGGUGGUGCUAUGGGGUUGGGGCCCAGUGUCUUUAUGGGGGAAAUAAUGGGGUUGGGCUGGAAGACUGUGGGAUUUAGGGUAAAAAUCCCAUAUUUUAUGGGGUCUUUUGGGGUCUUUUUGGGGUCUUUGUGGGGUCUUUGGGGUCUUUUUAGGGUCUGGACCCCCCCACUGACCUGCCUACCCCAUUCCCACUUAUAGGGUGGUGCUGUGGGGCUGUGGCCCAGUGUCUUUAUAGGGGAAAUAAUGGGGUUGGGGUGGAGGGAACAAUGUUGGGAUUUGGGGU